rnacentral:rRNA from 1 species
UNANACAUGCAAGUCGRRCGGUAACAGAACUAGCUUGCUAGUUGCUGACGAGUGGCGGACGGGUGAGUAAUGUAUAGGAACUUGCCUAGUAGUGGGGGACAACGUGUGGAAACGCACGCUAAUACCGCAUACGCUCUACGGAGGAAAGCAGGGGAUCUUCGGACCUUGCGCUAUUAGAUAGGCCUAUAUUGGAUUAGCUAGAUGGUAAGGUAACGGCUUACCAUGGCGACGAUCCAUAGCUGGUUUGAGAGAAUGGUCAGCCACACUGGGACUGAGACACGGCCCAGACUCCUACGGGAGGCAGCAGUGGGGAAUAUUGCACAAUGGAGGAAACUCUGAUGCAGCAAUGCCGCGUGUGUGAAGAAGGCCUUAGGGUUGUAAAGCAUUUUCAGACGCGAGGAAAAGUUAAUAGUUAAUACCUAUUAACCUUGACGUUAACGUCAGAAGAAGCACCGGCUAACUCCGUGCCAGCAGCCGCGGUAAUACGGAGGGUGCAAGCGUUAAUCGGAAUUACUGGGCGUAAAGCGCGCGUAGGCGGAUAGAUAAGUCAGAUGUGAAAUCCCUGGGCUCAACCUAGGAACUGCAUUUGAAACUGUCUAUCUAGAGUAUGGUAGAGGUGAGUGGAAUUUCAGGUGUAGCGGUGAAAUGCGUAGAGAUCUGAAGGAACAUCAGUGGCGAAGGCGACUCACUGGGCCAUUACUGACGCCGAGGUGCGAAAGCGUGGGUAGCAAACAGGAUUAGAUACCCUGGUAGUCCACGCCCUAAACGAUGUCAACUAGGUGUGUGAGAGUCUAACUCUUGCGUAUCGAAGCUAACGCGAUAAGUUGACCGCCUGGGGAGUACGGCCGCAAGGCUAAAGCUCAAAUGAAUUGACGGGGGCCCGCACAAGCGGUGGAGCAUGUGGUUUAAUUCGAUGCAACGCGAAGAACCUUACCAGGCCUUGACAUGUAGCGAACUUUCCAGAGAUGGAUUGGUGCCUUCGGGAACGCUAACACAGGUGCUGCAUGGCUGUCGUCAGCUCGUGUCGUGAGAUGUUGGGUUAAGUCCCGCAACGAGCGCAACCCCUGUCCUUAGUUGCCAUCAUUUAGUUGGGCACUCUAGGGAGACUGCCGGUGACAAACCGGAGGAGGGUGGGGACGACGUCAAGUCAUCAUGGCCCUUAUGGCCUGGGCUACACACGUGCUACAAUGGGCAGUACAAAGGGUUGCCAACUCGCGAGAGUGCGCUAAUCCCAUAAAACUGUUCGUAGUCCGGAUUGGAGUCUGCAACUCGACUACCAUGAAGUCGGAAUCGCUAGUAAUCGCAGAUCAGAAUGCUGCGGUGAAUACGUUCCCGGGCCUUGUACACACCGCCCGUCACACCAUGGGAGUGGGUUGCAAAAGAAGUAGCUAGGCUAACCUUCGGGAGGCCGGUUACCACUUUGUGAUUCAUGACUGGGGUGAAGUCGUAACAAGGUARCY